CCUAGAUGAGGGGUAGCCUGCCACUGAGAGGCGUGGAUCCCUCCUCCUGCGUGGGGUCAGGGAGAAGAAGGGCGUCGAGGGAUGCUUGGAUUGAUGGCUGAGGCUCUGCCAUGCCACCACAGGGGAUGGGGACAUAACAGCCUGGAGCAGGUCCACAGGGAAGCUGAGGCCUGGAGAGGAGGGGUUCACCUUUGCUUCCGCCUGCUCAGGAGAAGAAGGGUGAGGGCUUCAGGGAGCCUGGAGCACCGUGCCUGCUUCUCCACCUUCCCCUUGGAGUCCAGAGUCCCAUCCUCCCAGAAGGUCUUGGAGUCCAGGCCUUGUUGAGUGUCCCCCCAACCCCAUUCCCACUUCCAGGAACUGUGGCUAACCUGAAGUGGAACAAAUGAGCAGAAUCCAUCUCUGUGACGAUAACCGUUACUGGGUCUCAGGACCCGGCCUCCCAAGAUGAUGAUGCAACAAAAAAGACCUUGCCAGAUGACAGCCCCAUAACCUUGGACUUCCCAGCCUGCAGAACUGCAAGAAAUAAAUCUCUGUUCUUUAUAAAUGACCCAGUCUCAGGUAUUGUUAUAGCAGCACAAAAUGGACUAAGACAAUGCCCAAGGCCAAAUUAAUGACUGUCUCCC